UGUUGCGUGGGGGAGGGGAAGGCCCACGUCCUCCUGUUCAGGUGAACUCCAGGUGUUGAAGGUGGGAGAAGCGCAAUACCCUUAUAUGGAGAACAAACCUGCGUCGGCUUGGGGCUCCAGCUGCCAGGCGGCUCAGUGGCCUUAUAAGGUAAAAUGUAGGAUGAGUUCUCACAUGUUGCUAAAUUGAUCAGGUUACCUGUUGACUCCACAGAUAAACUGAUUUGUUUCCUGUUUAGAAUAAAGGUGUGAAUACUGUUUGUUGUUUUGAAGCUUCUGGUCGUCAGUUCAACAAGCAGAGGGAGGGAGGCACCUCAUCCAGAUGCCCUGAUGGCUGAAGAACCUGACCGCCAAAAAAAAAUGUAGAAAUGGGCUGUCAUGAAGGCUGGACUUGACUGCCACUGCUAAUAAUACUGCAGCUCAAAACUGUAAAGGGGAAACACGACUGUGAGAAGAGCAGCGCCGGAAACGCCCGCCCAACACUUUUUAUGAGCUGAAAACUUUGUGCUGCUUCAAGCACGUCAAGACAAACCAACCAGGAAGUGAUGAAGAGAGGCAAACGUUGAAAACUGUGACAUCUGCUGGUUUGUUGAUGCUCUGAAGAGUUUUCCUCUGGAGUAUAGCUCAUCAUGAGUGUGUUUAAAUGCUUUGGUAUUGUGCAGAAGAGAGUUUUUUUUUUUUACUAAUUAUUGCUUAAAUUAGAGGUGAAUUUAAAUGACAAGAUUACAUUUAAAGUGCAUUAACUUUUGUUUUCAUUUUUCCAUUUCUGUUUUUUUUUUAAUUACUAGAUACAACUUGAUUAAUCUCAUUAAGUCAGUGGUGUCAAACUCAAAUUUAAUGUUUUAAAAUGUAAGGAUUUGCAAAUUAUCUUAUUGAAUAAAGUAAACA